rnacentral:rRNA from 1 species
CCUACGGGCUGCAGCAGUGGGGAAUAUUGGACAAUGGGCGAAAGCCUGAUCCAGCCAUGCCGCGUGUGUGAAGAAGGCCUUCGGGUUGUAAAGCACUUUCAGUGGGGAAGAAAGCCCUGGGGCUAAUACCCUCGAGGAAGGACAUCACCCACAGAAGAAGCACCGGCUAACUCCGUGCCAGCAGCCGCGGUAAUACGGAGGGUGCGAGCGUUAAUCGGAAUUACUGGGCGUAAAGCGCGCGUAGGCGGUCUGAUAAGCCGGUUGUGAAAGCCCCGGGCUCAACCUGGGAACGGCAUCCGGAACUGUCAGGCUAGAGUGCAGGAGAGGAAGGUAGAAUUCCCGGUGUAGCGGUGAAAUGCGUAGAGAUCGGGAGGAAUACCAGUGGCGAAGGCGGCCUUCUGGACUGACACUGACGCUGAGGUGCGAAAGCGUGGGUAGCAAACAGGAUUAGAUACCCCUGUAGUC